rnacentral:rRNA from 1 species
CGUCUAUAUACGUAUAGCAUAUCAAUAAGCGGAGGAAAAGAAACUAACAAGGAUUCCCUUAGUAACGGCGAGUGAAGCGGGAAGAGCUCAAAUUUGAAAUCUUCAAGGUUUUACCUUGACGAAUUGUAGUUUAAAGAAGUGUUUUCUGUUGAAGUUUUGGUAAAAGUUCUUUGGAAUAGGACAUCAUAGAGGGUGAGAAUCCCGUAUUUGACCAUUAUCUCCAGCGUUGUGAUACACUUUCAAAGAGUCGGAUUGUUUGGGAAUGCAGUCCAAAAUGGGUGGUAAAUUUCAUCUAAAGCUAAAUAUUGGCGAGAGACCGAUAGCGAACAAGUACCGUGAGGGAAAGAUGAAAAGAACUUUGAAAAGAGAGUUAAACAGUACGUGAAAUUGUCAAAAGGGAAGCGUUUGACACCAGUGUUGUUUUUCCGGAAAAUCAAUUACGAAUGUUUUGUUUUUAAGGAGUUAUGACUUCAUCGGCUUGCUUCUUUCUUUACGAAACUUUCUUAAUGCACUUUUCGGUUAACAAGUCAACAUCAGUUUCUUUUGUUGUAAAAGGGUCAUUGGAAGGUGGCUUUCUUUUCGGAGAAAGUGUUUAUAGCCUUUGGCCUCUGCAAUCGGAGAGAUUGAGGUCUGCAGCGUAGAUCCUUCGGGGUUAGAUACAUUUGUGCUAAGUUAUAGCCUUUCAUAGACAACUUGUUGACUAUGAUCAGUCAUGUAGCUUACUCGCUUAUGCUAUUUUACCUACGCUUAGGAUGUUGACUGAUAUGUAGUCGUA